UCCCUGGUGGUCCAGUGGUUAAGACUCUAUGCUUUGACUGCAGGGCACCCGGGUUUGAGCCCUGGUCGGGGAA
rnacentral:tRNA from 1 species